rnacentral:rRNA from 1 species
AGAGCCUGAACCAGCCAAUUCGCGUGAAGGAAGACAGUCCUAGGAUUGUAAACUUCUUUUAUACGGGAAUAACGGGCGAUACGAGUAUUGCAUUGAAUGUACCGUAAGAAUAAGCAUCGGCUAACUCCGUGCCAGCAGCCGCGGUAAUACGGAGGAUGCGAGCGUUAUCCGGAUUUAUUGGGUUUAAAGGGUGCGUAGGUUGUUCGGUAAGUCAGCGGUGAAACCUGAACGCUCAACGUUCAGCCUGCCGUUGAAACUGCCGGGCUUGAGUUCAGUGGCGGCAGGCGGAAUUCGUGGUGCAGCGGUGAAAUGCAUAGAUAUCACGAGGAACUCCGAUUGCGAAGGCAGCUUGCCAUACUGCGACUGACACUGAAGCACGAAGCGUGGGUAUCAAACAGGAUUAGAUACCCUGGUAGUCCACGCAGUAAACGAUGAUUACUAGGAGUUUGCGAUAUACCGUCAAGCUUCCACAGCGAAAGCGUAAAGUAAUCCACCUGGGGGAGUACGCCCG